rnacentral:tRNA from 1 species
CACGAAAUUUAGCUUAAAUAAAGCAUCUCCCUUACACUGAGAAAAUAUUUGAUAAAACCAAAUUAUUUCGA